rnacentral:rRNA from 1 species
AGUGAACGCUGGCGGCAGGCCUAACACAUGCAAGUCGAACGGCAGCACGGCAGUAGCAAUACUGUGGGUGGCGAGUGGCGGACGGGUGAGGAAUACAUCGGGAUCUACCCUGUUGUGGGGGAUAACGUAGGGAAACUUACGCUAAUACCGCAUAAGAACUGAGGUUGAAAGCGGCGGACCGCAAGGCGUCGCGCGAUUGGAUGAACCGAUGUCCGAUUAGCUAGUUGGCGGGGUAAAGGCCCACCAAGGCGACGAUCGGUAGCUGGUCUGAGAGGACGACCAGCCACACUGGAACUGAGACACGGUCCAGACUCCUACGGGAGGCAGCAGUGGGGAAUAUUGGACAAUGGGCGCAAGCCUGAUCCAGCCAUGCCGCGUGGGUGAAGAAGGCCUCGGUUGUUAAAGACCCUUUGUUCCGGAAGAAAGACAUUCGGUUAAUACCGGUGUUCUGACGGUACCGGAAGGAAUAAGAC